UCCUCUGAUCAUUUCUCAUCACAAAUCUCACAACCAAAGCAUUAAUUCUCAUUAAUUUUCCCUUUAAUUCCCAUCUUCUUAUUAUCAAGUUUAUUUAUUCCUCAUUUACCAAUGGCAAGUCUUGAUCAGGUUGGAUCAGCAGCAGCAGUAGUAGAGCCCACUCCUGCAGCUGCAGUUGAAACCACCAAAGAUGCACCCAAAGAAGAGUCAGUAGUGAGUACUGAAGCCCCAGCAGCACCAGAAGUUGCUGCUAAUGAGACUGCUGCUGCACCAGUAGUAGAAGAAAAAAAAGAAACUGUUGCUGAAGCUGUUGUUGAAGAAAAGAAAGAAGAACCUGUAACUCCUGUUGCUGAAGCUGCCACAGAAGUUCCUGUGGAGAAGACUGAAUGAAGUGAAGAUUAUUAUCAUUUGCAGUUUAUUAUUGGUGAAUGAUGAGGUUAUUGUAUUAUGGCUUUUGUGUUUUUAUUUGUUUAUUAUCACUAGCAACUUGAGAGUGAUAGUUGCUUGGUUUUAGUAGAGGGGAUGAGAGGGUUUUGCAUGUGUCCAGUCCCAAAUAUGGAUGAUCAGUUUGUCUGCUCACUUUGAUUAAAGCUGAGAUGAGAUGAGAUUUGAUCUUUCUACAUUUUAAUAAUAAAAGUUUUUCGAGUCA